GGACUGGAAAACUUACAGUUGAUAAGAAAAUUUUAAAGUGAACGAACAACAAUGGCAAACGUAAAAAUUCAUAGUCUCGAAAAUAAUAGGGAGAUCUAUAUCAAGGACAAGGAUUUCUACUUGACCAUAUACACGGAAUUGAACUAGCUCCGCAGAAGUCUCACUGUCAGUCUCGUGGUUUCGGAUUAGAUAUAAGCCUUGGUAACCUGGGACUGACUGAAGCCAGAAACCAAUCCGUCCAGCAAAAGCCACCAACUUCAGACGACUGCUCGUAUCCUUGCGAUAGGGAUAUGACUGCCAGUUUUGACAAGUGGCCCAUCCAUCAUGAUCAACUAAGCAACUAGUUCAAUGUCAGGCCAUCAAUCAACCUGGGUUCCAUUCUCAAAUCGAGUCGAUUAGUCGAAACUGGAGACGAAGACAGAUACCUAACUAGAAGACCUGUAGGACCUCGAGGAGGACCUCGAGGAGGACUCAAAACACACCCGGGCUUCACAUAAAUACGUUUAUUAUAAUUUCAGAUUUUGUUUUGGAAAUAGUUCUUGAGAUAAGCUUGACGUUUCAUAAAAUGUAAUACAUAUAUAUUUCUUCGCGGUAA